CAGUCGUACCGGCGGAUAAUCAGCCUUUCGGGCGCGAUUCUGUGGGGCAUGAGGAGUUUAACCGCCUUCAUGUUUUGCAUAUUCGUGCACAUUUGGUCUACUUGUCCGUAUGGUGGGUUAACAUCAAUUUCGG
rnacentral:rRNA from 1 species